rnacentral:rRNA from 1 species
CCCCUAGAUGUUCUGGGCCGCACGCGCGCUACACUGAACAGUUCAACAAGUCUUAACCUUGGCCGAUAGGUCUGGGUAAUCUUUGAACGCUGUUCGUGAUUGGGAUAGACCUUUGCAAUUAUGGGUCUUCAACGAGGAAUUCCUAGUAAACGCAAGUCAUCAGCUUGCAUUGAUUACGUCCCUGCCCUUUGUACACACCGCCCGUCGCACCUACUGAUUGGAUGACUCGGUGAAGAAUCGGGACCGUGAGAACAAUCGAUUCAUUUCGAAUGUACUUGUGGGAACCUUUCUUAACCUCGUUUUCUAGAAGAAGGUGAAGUCGUANCA